rnacentral:tRNA from 1 species
UGCCCCAUGGCUGAGUUGGUUACAGCGUCCGACUGUUAAUUUCAAGCAAUCGGAAGGUCGUGAGUUCGAGCCUCACUGGGGCAG